rnacentral:lncRNA from 1 species
GCUUCGUUAUCAUACGCCCAACAACAAGUCCCCGUCCAACGCCAAUGUCAAACCAUUUAAACUCAACAACCAACCUCACACCAUCAACCUAACACAUACACCCAACAACCAAACACCCAACUUCGCAGCCCAUUCAUGCCAUCCACCCAAUAACCAAACACCCAACGUCGCAAUCCAUUCAUGCCAUUCACCCAAUCACAAAACCAAAAAUCAAACCCUACCCACCAACAACCAUACGCUUCAACUACAACCGUCUAUAGCCCAGAUGAUUCAUAUGGGUCACUUCAUCGUAGCCCCCCACCAAUGACCACUCAAACAUCCCAUCACAAAAACACACAACCAUUGUUUAAUUAUAGUACACCCCAGGAAAUCAUUGCUUCAUUUCCAAAACGAUUCAAUGUCCCAAUUCGGGCAACUAUACGUCCACAAUCCACCCAACCACAUCGACCUAACUACGAUGACAUGGACACCGAACUCCAUUACGGAAGCGUCGUUGGCCAGAGCC